GAUGAACGCUGGCGGCGUGCCUAAUACAUGCAAGUCGAGCGAACGGACGAGAAGCUUGCUCUUUUGAUGUUAGCGGCGGACGGGUGAGUAACACGUGGAUAACCUACCUAUAAGACUGGGAUAACUUCGGGAAACCGGAGCUAAUACCGGAUAAUAUUUUGAACCGCAUGGUUCAAUAGUGAAAGACGGUUUUGCUGUCACUUAUAGAUGGAUCCGCGCUGCAUUAGCUAGUUGGUAAGGUAACGGCUUACCAAGGCAACGAUGCAUAGCCGACCUGAGAGGGUGAUCGGCCACACUGGAACUGAGACACGGUCCAGACUCCUACGGGAGGCAGCAGUAGGGAAUCUUCCGCAAAGGGCGAAAGCCUGACGGAGCAACGCCGCGUGAGUGAUGAAGGUCUUCGGAUCGUAAAACUCUGUUAUUAGGGAAGAACAUAUGUGUAAGUAACUGUGCACGUCUUGACGGUACCUAAUCAGAAAGCCACGGCUAACUACGUG
rnacentral:rRNA from 1 species